rnacentral:rRNA from 1 species
ACUCCUACGGGAGGCAGCAGUGGGGAAUAUUGGACAAUGGGGGCAACCCUGAUCCAGCCAUGCCGCGUGUGUGAAGAAGGCCUUUUGGUUGUAAAGCACUUUAAGCAGGGAGGAGAGGNUAAUGGUUAAUACCCAUUAGAUUAGACGUUACUUGCAGAAUAAGCACCGGCUAACUCC